ACCCAGGAAGGAUCUCUUCCUGGAGAUUGCUUCUUGUGGAGUUUUUGUGAGCCUACAAUACUGAACGGCAGUCUCCUUCCUGCUCCUGCAUGAACUGGGUUCCUGUGGGCAGCUGCUCAUGUGUGCUCACUCACAAAAGUGCUGAGGAAAAUGGAAUGCUCUGUGACUCAGCGAGCCAUUCACACUGUGCUUCUUCUCCAACUCAAGGACUACUGAUGUGAGAAAAAAAAUUCAUGGAGUAAUGAGGGCAGCAUUCACAGGGAUGACUUUACAAGGAGGGGGCCUAUUUAACAGACAGUGUCUCCCAUGGGAGAGAUAAAGCAAUAACAAAAGGCAGAUGGGAAUUCCUGAAAGUGCUGAAAUGGUAUCAGUAGAGGCCUCUUUCGCAGUAAUGCAGGCCAAGUUAUUUGUUUGUUCAGAAGUCCAGAGCCUGUUUGAACUCUGGGAAGAGAAGGGCUAAAGGGAAUGGAGGGCUGAAGAGUUGUGGAGGAAGUUGAGAGAGCUGAAUUCACAUCCCUUCUUUUUCAAGCAUAAAGAUAGAAAAGGAUACCCUCAAUCUGUUAAGUUCUGGAUGAAAAGUAUUAUUCUUGGAUAUUGUACAUCAUAUGAUGCUUUUCCUGAGCCAGCAGACUUAUCUUCUACCCGCUGACCUACUACCUCCUGCAUGCCUUUGUAGCAGCAGCAGUUGUCCUCUUGACUUUCUAAAACUUCAGAGGUAUGAAGCAGAUGGGGCUCUGGCUGCUAGACAUGUUAGGUGUAUGCAGAGCCCGUGCCUAGAGGCAAGGAUUCUUCGCAGCUGGAAGAGCACAAGCACAAGAAUCAACUCUGAUCCCAAAGUGAAAAGCUCAUCAGUCCUUCAUCUUACAUGGUUUAUGAGUACACACUAUAGUACAACAAAAACCGAGAAAGCCCUUUAAGAAGCUGGCAAAAUAGUUACUUUCUGUUCAUGAGCUUAUAGGGAACUUUCUUUUUCUACGGUGCUGAGGGGCAGAAUAGAUAACAGGGAGCAGAUAACAUAUUCCACCUGAGAUGGCCUCACAGCCAUUUUUUCAGUUAAGUUGUUUUCCAAUUCACAUGGACUAUACACAUCUUUAAAGUAGGAACAGCUCUAGGUGUAAGCCCUGCCAAUGUCAGUGAAUCUUCAUCAGCAGGAGUUUGGCUAAGCUGCUUUUACAUGCUUAGAUGUCUUCAACAAGCCCCUGAGAAUGAAGACUUUCUCAUUUCUCUAUUGCUUUUGAAAUCAAAGUAAUACCUUUGAUUUGAUAAAAGUUUUUAAAAGGAAAACAAUCAAACAAAAAUACUUAAUGCGGCAGCAAAUAGAAGAAAACAAAUUUUAAUGUCAACAUUGAUUAAUCAGAAAGCAUUUCAUUUUGUAUGUACUGUAAUAGCUAUUAGCUCUGACAAAUGUCUAAAAAUGUCCACUUUUCUUCCUGUUCAUAUUAGUACCCAUUUCACCUGCAAUACUGAAACCACUGUGUUUGGCAUGAA